CACAGGAUGGCUGCUCCGCCUGAGAUUGCAGAUCCCCUGGACACAUUUAAGUGUCGGAACAUUUUGGGUUUCCAGUGGAGAACAGGAAUGGAAUUCGUGUCGUAGACAAAUCACACACAAUCUGUCGUAACUGUGUGCGUGUGCUUGCGUUCGCGUGUGUGUGUGUGCUUGCGUGUCAGAUCGGGUUAACCGAAGUGAAAUAGAAGAGCGCGAGAUCAUUCUCCAGAACAAAAGUACAAAUGUAACAAGACGUCGUCUGUCUGAGAAAGAGGAUGCAGACAGCAUUUGACCUGCGGCGACAGACCAUAAUGAAGACAUGCCCACCAGUGAAAAACCUCAUGGAACUCUGGCCUGCACUCAAAUAGAGUCUGAGGUGUAUUUAGAGUUCCAACGAAUUACAAUACAGAACCUGCCCAACAUAUUCUGCUCUGAGCUUGACUGACAUCUUCUUUCUGAAAAGAGUCAUCAGUCUAGAAAGACAACCAAAAUUGGGAAGACAUCAAAUGCUUUGACUGAAAUCCUAAGAAUCUACGAUUAACAGGAGGUAUGUGACACAUACACCAAGUGUAUCACUGCUCUUCAUCUCCUUCCAGUCUAUCAACAUGAGGACGUCUCGGGGUUCUUCAGGACCUGCACAGACACAUCUGAUGAGCCAGAGCUUUAAGAUGUUGUAAAGGCCCUCCUUACAGUCAUCAUAGAUGACGACACAAGUCCAGUUCACUUCAAGCCUGAGAAAAUCUGUCAUCAUUGAAAGCGAGAUUUGGUCAACCUCUGCAGAUUUACUGAUGCCUUUCUGGUAAUGUUUGGACUGAUCUAUGCACUACACCUCAGCUAUCCCAGGCGACUGACAACACACUUGAAUUCACUCAAAUGUUACUUUGCCUUAAUGAUGGAAAAGUGUCAUCUAAGUAACAGAGUCUCAAAAAGGACUUGAUGUGUAUGUAGAAAUGUAUCUAAAAAUUUGUUUUCUUCACAAUAUGCACAAUGUGCCUUUGUAUUUUCAAAUGGUAUUUGUGACUUGAAUUGUUGUCUGUGUUGGUCUUUUAAAUUGACACUGCCAUUGUAAAUGGAAAGGGCAAAAAUUUUGUGAAACACAAUGUAAUUCAAACUGUUUAAGUUGUCUGUACUCCAAAAAAUUAAGUUUUGAGCCAUGUGAUUUUGAGUUU